AGGAUCAUCCAGUCCAACUCCUGGCCCUGCACAGACACCCCAACAAUCCCACCCUGUGCCUGGAAGAGUGGUCCAAAUGCCUGGAGCUCUUGGAGCCUCAAGGCUGUGCCCAUUCCCUCAGAGCCUGAAGGGCUCCAGCAAUCCAUGUGCUAUCCCAGCUUGUUGAAGUGGCUGAGGAGACGGCUCUCGCUGUGCCUGGUGCUGCCUUUGGAGAUGCCUUUGGAGCACUGGGAGUAGCAACUUCCAGCAUCCUCCAGGGACUGGGAUUUCAAAGGAAGACAACAGCCAAGAGGGGCCGAGCUCAGGCUUCACAGAACAACUUCAGGGUCCAUAAAUGAACAUCUCUGUUGUUUGCUCCUGGAUUUUGGAACUCGAGCAUAUGGAUCCUGCUCCUUUUCUGACCCGGAGCAGUGAUAAAGAAAGGAUUAUUCCCACCAAAAA